CGUUAAGAAGCUAUAUGCUAGCGCCAGCCUUUUAAGCUAGAGAAAGAGGAUUGCCCGCCCCUCCUUAAUGA
rnacentral:tRNA from 1 species